rnacentral:rRNA from 1 species
CCUACGGGUGGCAGCAGUGGGGAAUAUUGGGCAAUGGGCGCAAGCCUGACCCAGCAACGCCGCGUGAAGGAAGAAGGCUCUCGGGUUGUAAACUUCUUUUCUCAGGGACGAAGAAAGUGACGGUACCUGAGGAAUAAGCCACGGCUAACUACGGGCCAGCAGCCGCGGUUAUACGUAGGUGGCAAGCGUUAUCCGGAUUUAAUGGGUGUAAAGGGCGUGUAGGCGGGAGCGCAAGUCAGAUGGGAAAACUCAGGGCUCAACCCUGGGCCUGCAUUUGAAACUGUGUUUCUUGAGUGCUGGAGAGGCAGGCGGAAUUCGGGGUGUAGCGGUGAAAUGCGUAGAUAUACGGAGGAACACCAGUGGCGAAGGCAGAUUGCUGGAGAGUAACUGACGCUGAGGCGCGAAAGCGUGGGGAGCAAACAGGAUUAGAUACCCUGGUAGUC